UACAGAGGGGGCCAGCGUUAUUCGGAAUUAUUGGGCGUAAAGGGCGCGUAGGCGGCUUUGCGUGUCUUUCGUGAAAUCCCUCGGCUCAACUGAGGACGUGCGGAAGAAACUGCAGGGCUGGAGUCCGGGAGAGGAGGGUGGAAUUCCCAGUGUAGCGGUGAAAUGCGUAGAUAUUGGGAGGAACACCAGUGGCGAAGGCGGCUCACUGGACCGGUACUGACGCUGAGGCGCGAAAGCGUGGGGAGCAAACAGG
rnacentral:rRNA from 1 species